GUGCUUGCUUCAGCAGCACAUAUACUAAAAAAUUGGAACAAUACAGAGAUUAUUAAGGCCCCUGCAUAAGGGUGACUCACAAAUUCGUGAAACAUUUUGUAUUUUU
ensembl:snRNA U6 U6 spliceosomal RNA